rnacentral:misc_RNA from 1 species
UACGAAGGCCCCGAGCGUUAUCCGGAAUCAUUGGGCGUAAAGCGUCCGCAGACGGUUUUGUAAGCCAACAGUUAAAUACCAGUGCUCAACAUUGGUGCCGCUUUUGGAACUGCAAAACUAGAGGGUGGGAGAGGUAAACGGAAUUGCCGGUGUAGUAGUCAAAUGCGUUAAUAUCGGCAGGAACACCAAAAGCGAAGGCAGUUACUGGAACACUCCUGACGUUCAGGGACGAAAGCGUGGGUAGCGAAUGGG